UUCCGGUUGAUCCUGCCGGACCCGACUGCUAUCAGAGUGGGACUAAGCUAUGCGAGUCGACACAGCAAUGUGUGGCAUACGGCUCAGUAACACGUAGUCAACAUGCCCAGGGGACGUGGAUAACCUCGGGAAACUGAGGAUAAACCGCGAUUGGUCACUACUUCUGGAAUGGGUAAUGACCCAAACCUAUAUGGCCCCUGGAUUGGACUGCGGCCGAUCAGGCUGUUGGUGAGGUAAUGGCCCACCAAACCUGUAACCGGUACGGGCUCUGAGAGGAGGAGCCCGGAGAUGGGCACUGAGACAAGGGCCCAGGCCCUAUGGGGCGCAGCAGGCGCGAAACCUCUGCAAUAGGCGAAAGCUUGACAGGGUUACUCUGAGUGAUUUCCGUUAGGGAGAUCUUUUGGCACCUCUAAAAAUGGUGCAGAAUAAGGGGUGGGCAAGUCUGGUGUCAGCCGCCGCGGUAAUACCAGCACCCCGAGUGGUCGGGACGUUUAUUGGGCCUAAAGCAUCCGUAGCCGGUUCUACAAGUCUUCCGUUAAAUCCACCUGCUCAACAGAUGGGCUGCGGAGGAUACUAUGGAGCUAGGAGGCGGGAGAGGCAAGCGGUACUCGAUGGGUAGGGGUAAAAUCCGUUGAUCCAUUGAAGACCACCAGUGGCGAAGGCGGCUUGCCAGAACGCGCUCGACGGUGAGGGAUGAAAGCUGGGGGAGCAAACCGGAUUAGAUACCCGGGU
rnacentral:rRNA from 1 species